ACAAUUAACCCCGAUACGGUCAGAAGAUUAAGGCUGAUGCCCAUCGUUUUUAAUAAACCGGCUGCCGCCAGUAAACAGAUUGGCAGGGAAAGGGCAAUAAGCAAUGUCGAGCGAACUUUACGGAAAAACAAAAACACACAAAUUAUCGAAAACAAGCACCCAAGC
rnacentral:antisense_RNA from 1 species